rnacentral:RNase_P_RNA from 1 species
CAGACUGUGCGGCAGCGUGGCGUUUGUCACGAGGAAAGUCCGGGCAUCACAGGGUGAGGAUAGCUGCUAACGGCAGCCGAAGGCGACUUCAGGGCUAGUGCAACAGAAAUAUACUUCCUGUUUCAGGUAAAGGUGGAAAGGCGAGGUAAGAGCUCACCGGAGCGUAGGAGACUAUGCUGCCAUGUAAACCCUAUCCGAUGUAACGUCUAUUGGUACCUGCUGUCAAUGUCGACCCGGCAGACAGUUCGGUAAUGGCGGCUUUAACGUGAGGGCGACCUCUCGUAUAGAUAAAUUGUCGCACUCGACAGAACUCGGCUUACAGGUCUGGUCA